rnacentral:rRNA from 1 species
UACGUAGGGUGCAAGCGUUAAUCGGAAUUACUGGGCGUAAAGCGUGCGCAGGCGGUGAUGUAAGACAGGUGUGAAAUCCCCGGGCUUAACCUGGGAACUGCAUUUGUGACUGCAUCGCUGGAGUGCGGCAGAGGGGGAUGGAAUUCCGCGUGUAGCAGUGAAAUGCGUAGAUAUGCGGAGGAACACCGGUGGCGAAGGCGGCCCGCUGGGCUGUUGCUGACGCUGAGGCGCGACAGCGUGGGGAGCAAACAGG